rnacentral:rRNA from 1 species
GUGGGGAAUCUUGCGCAAUGGGCGAAAGCCUGACGCAGCCAUGCCGCGUGAAUGAUGAAGGUCUUAGGAUUGUAAAAUUCUUUCACCGGGGACGAUAAUGACGGUACCCGGAGAAGAAGCUCCGGCUAACUUCGUGCCAGCAGCCGCGGUAAUACGAAGGGGGCUAGCGUUGCUCGGAAUUACUGGGCGUAAAGGGCGCGUAGGCGGACAGCUUAGUCAGAGGUGAAAGCCCAGGGCUCAACCUUGGAAUUGCCUUUGAUACUGGCUGUCUUGAGUUUGGGAGAGGUGAGUGGAACUCCGAGUGUAGAGGUGAAAUUCGUAGAUAUUCGGAAGAACACCAGUGGCGAAGGCGACUCACUGGCCCAAUACUGACGCUGAGGUACGAAAGCAUGGGGAGCAAACAGGAUUAGAAACCCUUGUAGUCC